rnacentral:sRNA from 1 species
UACUGCAUUUUGUGCAUAAGGGAACACAAUAGGGCAGUCUAAUGCAGGUUUAGAAUUUGGUACAAGCUUUUCAGAA